rnacentral:rRNA from 1 species
UACGGAGGGUGCAAGCGUUGCUCGGAAUUAUUGGGCGUAAAGGGCAAGUAGGUGGUCUCGUUUGUCUAGGGUGAAAGCCUUGAGCUUAACUCAAGAAGUGCCCUAGAAACGGCGAGACUAGAGUUCUGGAGAGGGUCGUGGAAUUCCCGGUGUAGCGGUGAAAUGCGUAGAGAUCGGGAGGAACACCAGAGGCGAAAGCGGCGACCUGGACAGAUACUGACACUGAGGCACGAAGGCCAGGGGAGCAAACGGG